rnacentral:rRNA from 1 species
GACAGAGGGUGCAAACGUUGUUCGGAAUCACUGGGCGUAAAGCGCGUGUAGGCGGCAGUGCAAGUCGGAUGUGAAAUCCCGCGGCUCAACCGUGGAAGUGCACCCGAAACUGCACAGCUUGAGUGUCGGAGAGGAAGGUGGAAUGCUUGGUGUAGAGGUGAAAUUCGUAGAUAUCAAGCGGAACACCGGUGGCGAAGGCGGCCUUCUGGACGACGACUGACGCUGAGACGCGAAAGCGUGGGUAGCAAACAGG